CACCGCGGUUAGACGAGGGGCCCAAGUUGAUAACAAUCGGCGUAAAGCGUGGUUAGGUUAACCCCAAACUAAAGUCAAACUCUUCCCCCGUUGUUAUAAGCCCUCGGAAGCAAGAAGAUCAACUACGAAAGUGACUUUAUAAGACUGAAGCCACGAAAGCUAGGGCA
rnacentral:rRNA from 1 species